rnacentral:rRNA from 1 species
UGGGGAAUUUUGGACAAUGGGCGAAAGCCUGAUCCAGCAAUGCCGCGUGUGUGAAGAAGGCCUUCAGGUUGUAAAGCACUUUUGUCCGGAAAGAAAUCCUUGGCUCUAAUACAGUCGGGGGAUGACGGUACCGGAAGAAUAAGCACCGGCUAACUACGUGCCAGCAGCCGCGGUAAUACGUAGGGUGCAAGCGUUAAUCGGAAUUACUGGGCGUAAAGCGUGCGCAGGCGGUUUGCUAAGACCGAUGUGAAAUCCCCGGGCUCAACCUGGGAACUGCAUUGGUGACUGGCAGGCUAGAGUAUGGCAGAGGGGGGUAGAAUUCCACGUGUAGCAGUGAAAUGCGUAGAGAUGUGGAGGAAUACCGAUGGCGAAGGCAGCCCCCUGGGCCAAAUACUGACGCUCAUGCACGAAAGCGUGGGGGAGCAAAACAGGAUUAGAUACCCCUGGUAGUCCACGCCCUAAAACGAUGUCAACUAGUUGUUGGGGAUUCAUUUCCUUAGUAACGUAGCUAACGCGUGAAGUUGACCGCCUGGGGGAGUACGGUCGCAAGAUU